GGUAAGUGGCGAGUGGUUCCUUGUAAUAUGUAUUUAAACACACAAAUAUUGUUGAAUAAUUUAGUGCAUGUGAUGUGUUGUAUAAUAUUUCAAUACUGAAACAGAAGAAACGAUUUGAAUAUGUGUAAAAGGUUUUUGUGCAUACUGUGAUUCAGUCUAGUCCAUGAAGAUCAAACGUACAUACACAGUGAAAUAUUUCUAGGUUUUACAUGUUAAAAUUUAGUAAGCAGAAGACUUAUAAACAAAUGUUUAUUAUCAGUUACUGUUAAAUUUGCAUUGAAUGUUUUGACAUGGUGUAAAUUUUGGAAUUAUACUCUUAAAUAAAGCCUUCAUUGCAUUGUUAUCUUCUAGCUAGAACCUUGAAGCCUGGCAAGGAUUAUGAGACUGGAAACUCCCAUUGAGACCAACAAAUGAAGAGAAAGUUUCAGACUGUUUAACUCGGACUAAGGGAAAAGAAGCAAAUUACAACAAGGAGAAUAUUGCCGAGAAAGCAAAGACAAGUGAAAAGUUGAGUGAAGAAAAAGCAAUCAAGGCUUCACGAUCUGCAACUAGGCCACUGGCGAUGAAGAAGAAAAAUGUACAGCUAAAGAAGAUACAUCAGUGAUCAACUAAAGCUGGGCGACUUAUAUUGGUCAGGAUUGACGAGGUGCAGGGGGGAUAUUAAUUUGGGUCUGUUUAUCUUUCUGUUUGUCAAUCUGUCUGUCUGUAACACUUCGUUCUCUUAACAUUUCCAAAAAUGACAUUUUAUAUUAUAACUCAUUUUGACGAUCCCACUGCAGAACAUGAUUAAUCAUCAAUACAAAUUUAAUAUUGUUUAUAAAUUAAAUAUUACCCUUAUAUAUUUUGAAGUGAAAUGGUCAGAGGUCAAGGCUUCUUUCGGGGGCACAUAUUGUUUUUGUCUGUCUGUUUAUCUGUCUAUUGACAAUUUACCUUUUGCCAUAACUUUUGAAUCAUGAGAGAUAUAGAUACUUCAAAUUGGGUAUGCUUACUCCACUUUCAAAUGAGACCAAGACCAAUGACCUUGACUGUCAUCGUUAUGCUAAAAUAUAGCCUUAUUGAAUCUUUUACUUUUGAACCAUAAGAGGUAGAGAUUUUAUAUUGAGUAUCCAUACUCCACUAAUUAAGUUCUUUCA